GGAGGGUGCGAGCGUUAAUCGGAAUUACUGGGCGUAAAGGGUGCGUAGGUGGCCUUAUAAGUCAGAUGUGAAAGCCCUGGGCUUAACCUGGGAACUGCAUUUGAAACUAUGAGGCUAGAGUUUGGUAGAGGGAAGUGGAAUUUCCGGUGUAGCGGUGAAAUGCGUAGAUAUCGGAAGGAACACCAGUGGCGAAGGCGACUUCCUGGGCCACAACUGACACUGAGGCACGAAAGCGUGGGGAGCGAACAGGAUUAGAUACCCUGGUAGUCCACGCUGUAAACGAUGAGUACUAGAUGUUAGGGAGCUUAGACUCUUUAGUAUUGUAGCUAACGCGCUAAGUACUCCGCCUGGGGACUACGGCCGCAAGGUUA
rnacentral:rRNA from 1 species